GUAAACCCAAGGUUUCCAGGGGAAGGUUCGUCCGCCCUGGGUUAGUCGGGACCUAAGCUGAGGCCGAAAGGCGUAGGUGAUGGACAACAGGUUGAUAUUCCUGUACUACCGAUAACCGGUUGAGAGAAGGGAUGACACAGUAGGAUAAGCUAAGCACACUGUUGGUUAUGUGUGCCCAAGCAUUGAGGCAGUCAAAGUAGG
rnacentral:rRNA from 1 species